UGGGGAAUAUUGGACAAUGGGGGGAACCCUGAUCCAGCCAUGCCGCGUGUGUGAAGAAGGCCUUAUGGUUGUAAAGCACUUUAAGUUGGGAGGAAGGGCAGUAAGCGAAUACCUUGCUGUUUUGACGUUACCGACAGAAUAAGCACCGGCUAACUCUGUGCCAGCAGCCGCGGUAAUACAGAGGGUGCAAGCGUUAAUCGGAAUUACUGGGCGUAAAGCGUGCGUAGGCGGCUAAUUGAGUCGGAUGUGAAAUCCCCGAGCUUAACUUGGGAAUUGCAUUCGAUACUGGUUAGCUAGAGUGUGGGAGAGGAUGGUAGAAUUCCAGGUGUAGCGGUGAAAUGCGUAGAGAUCUGGAGGAAUACCGAUGGCGAAGGCAGCCAUCUGGCCUAACACUGACGCUGAGGUGCGAAAGCGUGGGGAGCAAACAGG
rnacentral:rRNA from 1 species